UACGAAGGGAACUAGCGUUGUUCGGAAUCACUGGGCGUAAAGCGCGCGCAGGCGGAUAUUCAGGUCAGGGGUGAAAUCCUGAGGCUUAACCUCAGAAUUGCCUUUGAGACUGUAUAUCUGGAGUGUGUGAGGGGGUAGCGGAAUUCCGAAUGUAGAGGUGAAAUUCGUAGAUAUUCGGAGGAACACCGGUGGCGAAGGCGGCUACCUGGCACACAACUGACGCUGAGGCGCGAAAGCGUGGGGAUCAAACAGG
rnacentral:rRNA from 1 species